rnacentral:lncRNA from 1 species
AAUAGUAGAAGCAUCGCUAUUGCACAGUCAAACAAACCCUAUCUAUUUCACAUCCCAUGUUCAGUAGAUUACAGUGUGAUUCACAUCCCCUGUUCAACAAUACUAAGAGCCCGGCUCUAAAAUCUCAACAUCUGUACAUUAUAUCGCAUGCUACUGCAUAGUCUUGGAAGCGCGACUCCGUACACACUAACACUCCAAUCAUUGGAUUCCUGACAACCUAUUACAUUUCUAUACUUAACGCAUAAAAGUAAUCCUAAACCCCACCUGGUAUUAAGAGCUGACACCUCUGAUUUUGACUUGACAUGAUUCCUCUCAUUGCCACAAGUCUGUAUCUUCUGACCGUGCGUCGUUUGGAGCUCAAACUCCUGAGUUAUGCUCCAUUUAGUUCAUUGCAACAUUUUCAAACUCGCUAGUCCUCUAACUGCCUCCAUUAUACUAACUGAUCCAGAACUUCCUGUCGUUGACAAACAGACCCAAGUCAUUAUCUGUAAACCACCAAAAAGUUCAGAACUACCGAAGCAAAACUCGCAACUAACUGGGAAAAUUACCAAUUGGUCACUUAACUUCCGUGACUUGCAGUUUGGUCCCCUAUCUUCUCCGGAUAACUGAGGUCGCCGCCUGCAAAUUCUGCCAAAUUUUCUAGUGACCACCAGCGACCUUCAACAUUCUUGGAAUGUGGUCCUACUGCCGCUGCCGUCUCCUAGUUUGUCGCCGCGGCCCUUCGGCCGAUCUCUACCGCCAGAACACGCUUCCACGUGCCGCUUCCGUCGCCAGAUCCA